AAGAGCCGCAGAUAAAAACAUGCAAGUCGCACGAGAAAGGGCCUCGGCCCCCGCCAAGUGGGGCCGGGCGCGUAACACAUGGGUAAUCUGCCCUCUGCGGGGGAUAACAUUCCGAAAGGAGUGCUAAUACCGCUAAGACCACAGCUUCAUAAGGAGCUGAGGACAAAGCUGGCCUUUAUAUAUAAGCUAGGACUUGAUGAUGAGCCCCCGGACCAUUAGGUGGUUGGGGGGGGAAUGGCCUACCAAGCCGAAGACGGGUAGCUGGUCUGAGAGGAUGAUCAGCCACACUGGAACUGAGACACGGUCCAGACUCCUACGGGAGGCAGCAGUGGGGAAUCUUGCGCAAUGGACGAAAGUCUGACGCAGCGACGCCGCGUGGGUGAUGAAGGCCUUCGGGUUGUAAAGCCCUGUGGGGAGAGACGAAUAAGUGCCGCCUAAUACGUUGCAUGAUGACGGUAUCUCCUUAGCAAGCACCGGCUAACUCUGUGCCAGCAGCCGCGGUAAUU
rnacentral:rRNA from 1 species